AUGGUUAUUAGACUACACCUUAGGCCAUUGGAUCCAUCACGAUUGACGAGCAGGAAUUGCAGACCUUGAUCUGCAAAUUUCUGCAACCCUGCUAAGGGUAAUCACAGACUGGCACCUGGAAUGUGUCAAAUGAGAUUUCAGCAAGCUACUGGUAAAGAACCUCAUAAAAUCCUUCAAAUAAAUCAGAAUGUUACCCUGUGAAAGCUUGGAAACCUCUUAUGAAAAGGGCAAAUGAAGAUCCCAACAGAGUCAUGGCUCAAGACCUGUUUCGCAGAGUUCGCAGUAUUUUGAAUAAGAUCACAG